AGAGGGGGAGAGAGUUGUGGCCAUGUUAUUAUCACAUUCUGGACUUCGGACGAGAUUUUGGGUCCCAUGAUCUUUUAAUAACAAUGUUGUGUAGUGAAAUUUUAUUCAUCAAUUUUCAGUUUUGAUGCAAAGGGAAAGGUCCUUUGGAUGCUUCUCAUUUGCUGACUACUGCUUUGAAGAUCAGAUCAUUGCCUUGUUG
rnacentral:lncRNA from 1 species